rnacentral:rRNA from 1 species
GACGAACGCUGGCGGCGUGCCUAAUACAUGCAAGUUGAGCGCUGAAGGUUGGUACUUGUACCAACUGGAUGAGCCGCGAACGGGUGAGUAACGCGUGGGGAAUCUGCCUUUCAGCGGGGGACAACCUUUGGAAACGAAUGCUAAUACCGCAUAAAAACUUUAAACACAAGUUUUAAGUUUGAAAGAUGCAAUUGCAUCACUCAAACAUGAUCCCUCGUUGUAUUAGCUAGUUGGUGAGGUAAAGGCUCACCAAGGCGAUGAUACAUAGCCCACCUGAGAGGGUGAUCGGCCACAUUGGGACUGAGACACGGCACAAACUCCCACGGGAGGCAGCAGUAGGGAAUCUUCGGCAAUGGACGAAAGUCUGACCGAGCAACGCCGCGUGAGUGAAGAAGGUUUUCGGAUCGUAAAACUCUGUUGGUAGAGAAGAACGUUGGUGAGAGUGGAAAGCUCAUCAAGUGACGGUAACUAGCCAGAAAGGGACGGCUAACUACGUG